rnacentral:rRNA from 1 species
UUAGAGUUUGAUCCUGGCUCAGGAUGAACGCUAGCGGCAGGCUUAACACAUGCAAGUCGAGGGGCAGCGCGAGUAGCAAUACUUGGCGGCGACCGGCGCAAGGGUGCGUAACACGUGAGUAACAUACCUGUAUCAGGGGAAUAAGCCAUGGAAACGUGGUCUAAAACCGCAUAAUAUGAACUAUAGGCAUCUAUAGAUUAUUAAAAUUACGAUGGAAACAGAUUGGCUCGCGGAACAUUAGCUAGUUGGUAAGGUAACGGCUUACCAAGGCGACGAUGUUUAGGGGUUCUGAGAGGAAGGUCCCCCACACUGGAACUGAGACACGGUCCAGACUCCUACGGGAGGCAGCAGUGAGGAAUAUUGGACAAUGGAUGGAAAUCUGAUCCAGCCAUGCCGCGUGAAGGAUAAGGUCCUAUGGAUUUUCAACUUCUUUUGUAUGGGAGCAAUAAGGUCUACGCGUAGACUGAUGAGAGUACCAUACGAAUAAGCAUCGGCUAACUCCGUGCCAGCAGCCGCGGUAAUACGGAGGAUGCAAGCGUUAUCCGGAUUUAUUGGGUUUAAAGGGUGCGUAGGCGGAAGGAUAAGUCAGCGGUGAAACGUACGGGCUCAACCCGUGAACUGCCGUUGAAACUGUUCAUCUGGAAUGCGGAUGCUGUGGGAGGAAUGUGUAGUGUAGCGGUGAAAUGCAUAGAUAUUACACAGAACACCGAUUGCGAAGGCAUCUCACAAAACCGCGAUUGACGCUGAGGCACGAAAGUGUGGGGAUCGAACAGGAUUAGAUACCCUGGUAGUCCACACAGUAAACGAU